AGAGUUUGAUCCUGGCUCAGAUUGAACGCUGGCGGAACGCUUUACACAUGCAAGUCGAACGGUAACGUGGGGAGGAGCUUGCUCCACCCCGACGACGAGUGGCGAACGGGUGAGUAAUACAUCGGAACGUGUCCGCUCGUGGGGGACAACCAGCCGAAAGGUUGGCUAAUACCGCAUGAGUUCUACGGAAGAAAGAGGGGGACCCGCAAGGGCCUCUCGCGAGCGGAGCGGCCGAUGACUGAUUAGCCAGUUGGUGAGGUAACGGCUCACCAAAGCAACGAUCAGUAGCUGGUCUGAGAGGACGACCAGCCACACUGGGACUGAGACACGGCCCAGACUCCUACGGGAGGCAGCAGUGGGGAAUUUUGGACAAUGGGCGCAAGCCUGAUCCAGCUAUUCCGCGUGUGGGAUGAAGGCCCUCGGGUUGUAAACCACUUUUGUAGAGAACGAAAAGACACCAUCGAAUAAAUGGUGUUGCUGACGGUACUCUAAGAAUAAGCACCGGCUAACUACGUGCCAGCAGCCGCGGUAAUACGUAGGGUGCGAGCGUUAAUCGGAAUUACUGGGCGUAAAGGGUGCGCAGGCGGUUGAGUAAGACAGAUGUGAAAUCCCCGAGCUUAACUCGGGAAUGGCAUAUGUGACUGCUCGACUAGAGUGUGUCAGAGGGAGGUGGAAUUCCACGUGUAGCAGUGAAAUGCGUAGAUAUGUGGAAGAACACCGAUGGCGAAGGCAGCCUCCUGGGACAUAACUGACGCUCAGGCACGAAAGCGUGGGGAGCAAACAGGAUUAGAUACCCUGGUAGUCCACGCCCUAAACGAUGUUAACUAGUUGUUGGGAUGUAACAAUCUCAGUAACGCAGCCAACGCGAGAAGUUAACCGCCUGGGAAGUACGGUCGCAAGACUAAAACUCAAAGGAAUUGACGGGGACCCGCACAAGCGGUGGAUGAUGUGGAUUAA
rnacentral:rRNA from 1 species